UCGAGUGAUGAGCCCGCGCAGCGCUGAGCAAGAUGAUGAAGAUUUUAAGUGCUGACGC
rfam:Pyrococcus abyssi GE5 complete genome; segment 2/6